UUUUUAUGGUGAUCCUAACAGUUUUCUCAAGGACAGACAUAAUGGAGAAUACAACAGCUUGACCCUAGCAACUAACACAAUCUAUCACCUGCUGCCAAGCAACCAAGAGCAAGAAAAGAAGUGGUUAGAAAAGGUAUCACGAGCUCUGGAGUGCUCAGGCCCCAGUGAAAACAUAAAGUGCAUAUGAGGACAUGAGGGCUAAGGGGAUCCCCAGGGUUCCCUUUUCCAUUCUCAGAAUUCCUUACGAUAU
rnacentral:lncRNA from 1 species